UGCUUCUGCUCAGUCCCUCGACUUGGUGUGUACUCUAGGGUUGACUCCCUCCAUCCUAGCUCCUCACGAUCUUUCUGACUUCCGUAACAUUCAUGGCUCUGAGUGAAUUCACGUCUUCACUCCUAGACCCUAAUUUUCUUUUCUGCUCAGUGUACAUAUCUCCCUUUAGAUUGACUCAAGUCCCUAGAUCAACCCCUUCAAACCAUCAUAAUUAUCAGGUCUCCUGGCUGACGGUACCACUGUUCUGUCACCACACUUUAACGUUUUGCCAAGAAGUUUUGCCUCCUUCAUGUUCCCGAUUUUGUACAUGCAAUCAGUUGGCAAACCUGUCGAUUCUCACUCUAGAGGUUUUUUUUGGCCUCCAUUUCUCCUCCUGGCUCUUUCCCCCAUUGGUGAUGUCUGUGUUGUGUAUCAUUGUUCUGAGAAUUUAUACUUCCCUUCACUCUCACAGCUUGCAUGUCCUAACUAUAGCUAGUGCACAUCACCCCAAACCCCAGAAACAAAUUUAACGAUCUUCCUUAGCAGAGGUUUUCCAACAGGCACGACUGAGGGUCACGUCCCCUUGUGUUGUCCUUGUGUUGUUGACAGGACAGUUAAAUUACAAACUUGUCCCUUAUUCUUUAGCCACCUAGGUUGUCUUGUAUCUUCAACUAUUCUUUUCCCAAAAUUCCCUGCUCCCAACUUUCUUCUCCCAACUCUCUUGCACAAUCCACUUCUCACAUCUAAGUCUUCAAAGACAAUGACAAACAAUCACGGCAUCUAUUCCCCUUCGCAAACUCUGCACAAAACAUUUAGGCACUUUAUGAACGUCCACGACAUGCAAUUUUAUUUCCUGGGAGGCACCCGUCGGAGACCUCCUUGUAAUGAUGUGGCUGCGCAUGUCAUCGUCCCUACAAGAUUCGGAACAAGCCAUACAUUUACUACUCUACUGUUUCCUAUAUUACCUAACAGGGUGUCUUGUAUAUGAAGAGCACUAGUGACUAUUCGAUAUUAUAAAUAGCAAUAGGAAAUGAGUUCAAUUAUUUUACCCACGGGAUACUUGAAUCUGCAGGAAUAUGUAAGGAUGAGUUCUUACCCCCACGUUUCUCAACUCCACAUUUCUCUUUUUCUCCACAGAGCCUUGGUAAUACACUAGCAGUGCAUGUGUGCAUUUCCCCAUGACUAUGUCCAGUGGAAAUUUGUAUUUUUCCAAGUCACGCUUCAUCCUCUGAAGUCCUUCUUCUUUGGCUACUCAAUGGUGAUUAAUGUGUCUCUGCAGUGACGAAUGCACACAAAGUAAAUGUCAGACGGUUAGACGGCAAAGGAUGUUGAUCAAAUGUGGCACAUCAGGACCUUCCAGAUGCCCAGCAUAGAGCUGAUGUCGGGACACGUCACUGUCCUGAGUGGCCCUAGCAUGACCUAUGCUAGCAUGGACAGAUCUUUGUUUCAAGAGUUGAACGGUUUGAGUUGUUUAGACCCUUUCACCGACAGAAGACCUUGUUACAACAUAAGCUCACUAAUCACUCAGCUUUGUGAAUCUCAAGAAGUGGUCCGACGGGAUUGUACUGAGUGUUGGAAGUCUCCACCUUUGUAACCAGGUGGGCCAGACCCAGGGUCAGGGGAUGUUUGUUCUGCUUAUCUUCUUGUCUUGAUGGCCUUUUUUCUUGCCCUCUCUGAGGUUUUAUGUCACUGAGGUUAUUAAACACAUUACCUCUGGCAUGCACCUCUCAAGUGAGAACACGUCAGAAUUGACUCGAUCCAGAAGAAUUCUAGUGUCUCAACUCCUCUUUUCUCUUAGAUUUGAUUAGAUUCAUUGCCUUAGAGGAGAGCAUGUCACUGCUGGCCUGAUGACCCUCUUGUUCCUCUAUCUUCCUGCAGCCUUUGCUGUUUCCCUUGGCCCCUUAGUUCUACUUAACUAUUCCACCUAUUCGUUCUAGUUAGUGUCUAUCUCUGUUUCUGAAAGAUCUCUUGGGGCUACUCCUGUCCUUUUACCUAAGCUUCUCUGAUACCGGGUAAUAUCCUCUUUCUUUCUCCUGCCCUGCUUCCCCUAUAAAUCUCAUGAUGUCAUUGGUCAUGAAUUAUUCUCCUUUGGAGGCAUCUUCUGCCACCGAGUGCUAAUUUAAAGCAUACCGUAGUGAACCUAACUCAAAUAAGUUACAGGCAGUGACAAGUCUGUUUUUCAAACAACCUGGCAGAGUUCAUUCUUCAUCAGGACAGGAUUGGGUGGAGAGAUUAUUAUUGGCAAGCUGGGAUGAAACUUGUGACAACUUAGGAGGAAUCUAGCAAAAGUUAAAAUGUUAAGUCUAAAGGGGUAGGUUUUUUUUUUUCAGUUCUAAUAGUUGUAGAUAGCAUUCAUCCCAGCAAUGGGGAUAAUUAAUAUUUGAGAGCAAAGUCCAUCUUAUGAUAUUAUGAGACAUUAAUAGAAGCAUAGAGAUGGGCUGCUACUAACUAGUGGCUGUGGGGACAGACAGCUGUUCUCUCAAAGAAGGGCAUCCGUGAAUUUCUGCAGGACC
ensembl:lncRNA